GAUGAACGCUGGCGGCGUGCCUAAUACAUGCAAGUCGAGCGAACGGACGAGAAGCUUGCUUCUCUGAUGUUAGCGGCGGACGGGUGAGUAACACGUGGAUAACCUACCUAUAAGACUGGGAUAACUUCGGGAAACCGGAGCUAAUACCGGAUAAUAUUUUGAACCGCAUGGUUCAAAAGUGAAAGACGGUCUUGCUGUCACUUAUAGAUGGAUCCGCGCUGCAUUAGCUAGUUGGUAAGGUAACGGCUUACCAAGGCAACGAUGCAUAGCCGACCUGAGAGGGUGAUCGGCCACACUGGAACUGAGACACGUUCCAGACUCCUACGGGAGGCAGCAGUGGGGAAUCUUCCGCAAAGGGCGAAAGCCUGACGGAGCAACGCCGCGUGAGUGAUGAAGGUCUUCGGAUCGUAAAACUCUGUUAUUAGGGAAGAACAUAUGUGUAAGUAACUGUGCACAUCCUGACGGUACCUAAUCAGAAAGCCACGGCUAACUACGUG
rnacentral:rRNA from 1 species